GCCCCGGCUAACUACGUGCCAGCAGCCGCGGUAAUACGUAGGGGGCGAGCGUUGUCCGGAAUUAUUGGGCGUAAAGGGUACGUAGGCGGCUUUUUAAGUUUGACGUGAAAGCCCGGGGCUUAACUCCGGCAAGCGUUGAAAACUGGAGGGCUUGAGUGAUGGAAGGGACAGUGGAAUUCCUGGUGUAGUGGUGAAAUGCGCAGAGAUCAGGAAGAAUACCAGUGGCGAAGGCGACUGUCUGGACAUUAACUGACGCUGAGGUACGAAAGCGUGGGGAGCAAACAGGAUCAGAUACCCUGGUAGUCCACGCUGUAAACGAUGAGUGCAAGGUGUUGGGGGUCAAACCUCGGUGCCGCCGUUAACACAGUAAGCACUCCGCCUGGGGAGUACGACCGCA
rnacentral:rRNA from 1 species